GGCGGCGCCUCGAGCUCUCGGCAAUAAAACUUUUUGAUGUUCACGUUGCUAAUUGCCGAGGUCCUCUUCCAGGAUUGGCUACCUCCUCAUAACCAUAAGAUAAUUAAAACUUGGCGGGGGGAGGGGCAGGGUUAAAAAAACUUUUUUUAUCAGUCAGAGGAUAAUGCAAGUGUUUAACAGAUGCUUCACUAUUAAAAUAUUUUCCCCCCAAGUCUCAAAUAUUGAAGAAUCUCUAACCAGGCACAACAAAUGAGACCCAAGUGCUCAUAGAACAUUCCAAAGAGUCAACAGAGAGAAGUGGAAAGUAUUAGAAACAUGAUUGUGUUUGCAAAGGGAGACAUAAACAUGGGGAAAUUGAGGCAGAGAAGCCAAGACAUGCGCUAAAGGUCCAUGCAGGCUAUGAAUGGAGCUGGAAUGUAAACGCAGGCCAUGUGA